rnacentral:rRNA from 1 species
GUAGGGUGCGGGCGUUAUCCGGAUUCACUGGGUUUAAAGGGUGCGUAGGCGGGCAGGUAAGUCCGUGGUGAAAUCUCCAAGCUUAACUUGGAAACUGCCGUGGAUACUAUUUGUCUUGAAUAUAGUGGAGGUGAGCGGAAUAUGUCAUGUAGCGGUGAAAUGCUUAGAUAUGACAUAGAACACCCAUUGCGAAGGCAGCUCGCUACACUAUUAUUGACGCUGAGGCACGAAAGCGUGGGGAUCAAACAGGAUUAGAUACCCUGGUAGUCCACGCCCUAAACGAUGAUUACUCGACAUCAGCGAUACACUGUUGGUGUCUGAGCGAAAGCAUUAAGUAAUCCACCUGGGAAGUACGACCGCAAGGUUG